AUUGAACGCUGGCGGCAGGCCUAACACAUGCAAGUCGAGCGGAUGAAGGGAGCUUGCUCCUGGAUUCAGCGGCGGACGGGUGAGUAAUGCCUAGGAAUCUGCCUGGUAGUGGGGGAUAACGUCCGGAAACGGGCGCUAAUACCGCAUACGUCCUGAGGGAGAAAGUGGGGGAUCUUCGGACCUCACGCUAUCAGAUGGGCCUAGGUCGGAUUAGCUAGUUGGUGGGGUAAAGGCCUACCAAGGCGACGAUCCGUAACUGGUCUGAGAGGAUGAUCAGUCACACUGGAACUGAGACACGGUCCAGACUCCUACGGGAGGCAGCAGUGGGGAAUAUUGGACAAUGGGCGAAAGCCUGAUCCAGUCAUGCCGCGUGUGUGAAGAAGGUCUUCGGAUUGUAAAGCACUUUAAGUUGGGAGGAAGGGCAGUAAGUUAAUACCUUGCUGUUUUGACGUUACCAACAGAAUAAGCACCGGCUAACUUCGUG
rnacentral:rRNA from 1 species